rnacentral:lncRNA from 1 species
GGAGUCCCGUGUGGUCCUUGCCCAGUGGGGCCCAGCUGUAUUCUAGGGAGGGGCCAGCCCUUCUUCUCUGCCCCCUACUGAUGUGCAAGAACCCACUGGAGCCUCUGUGAUCACCAUGUCCCGGACCCUGGCCACCAGUUCACAUACUGCCACAACACUGGCUCACGGCCCCUGGGCCAGUCCCAUGCUGGAUCCUGUGAGCUUCAGGCUUUUGUUCCCACUUGCAGCAGGGCAAAGUGAGGAAGGACAAAUCCAGGGAGCAUGCCUAGGCCACCCAGCAGCUGGGACCAGUAAUUUCUUCCCCAGCAAGACUGUGUCCAGCUUCAACAUCCCAUGAGCUCCCAGCACUGGUACCAGCUUCCCUGGGCAGCAGGCAUCUAGCCACGUGGCAUGUCUGCUAAGAAGGACACUCUUGUGACCACAAAAGCCCUCACUGUCCCAAGUCUAUAAAAAGGCAGCCGGCAGGAGCAGAACCCUCCUAGAGCACGGUCGUACUGUGCAGCCUGCUUGGCCUGAACCCCCACUUACCUGUGAGUUCCUCACUGCUCUGUUUGGUGAUCACGGCCCACCAGAAACAGGCUCAGAGAGAUCCAGUGCCUUGCCUCGGGUCCCAUAGAGUUGAGAGUCAAAUGAGGCUUGCCUGGUGGUAGACUCUUUAACAUGAGGACGUGGCUCUCUGUUGGCCCUGUAAACACUGAACCAAUCAUGCAGUUGUUGAAAAAAAUCCUACCAGCCCCGAGGAAUUGCUGGUCCCAGCUGCUGUCACUGCUCUACACGGUAGGGGUAGAUCAAGGAACAGGACAAGCAAAGCAUCUGCCUUCAUGGCAUUCACCUUCUAGAAAGUGAAACACGACAGAAAUUAAAAUAACUGUCUAACUGUAGGUAAACUGAGGGCAUUCCCUGUGCUGGUUACAGGACUUUCUUAGGUGAUGUUGGAGCUGAGGCUUGAUAGAGGGCACAGGCCGUGUGGACACUCGGGCAAGUAUCCAGGCAGACAAAGGCCAGUGCAAAGGCCCCAUGGCAAGCUCAGACGUACAUGAAAGGAAUAGCAGUGAAGCCAGGAGGCUGGAAUGGAGUGAGCUCAGGGCGAGGGUAGGAGAGGAGGUGGGAGGAAGAAUGGGUCCCACUGGGCAGGGCCUUGUUGCUUCAUGACAUUUAAAUCCAAGACACAUUCACAAUACAGUUUUUUUCCCCUAAAUAAAAUGCCUGAUCUUGGUGUUUGGG